rnacentral:lncRNA from 1 species
UGGUGGGAUAUUUAUGCUCGAUCACAAGCGAGCUUGAGACAUGACAACUGUUCGAAAUCCUUAACAAGAACUCCCUACAUCACAUGUUUGUCGCUUAUAGAUACACUCCCUUGUCUAGACCUAAAAGAGAUAGAAUUUAUGAAGUAAGCAAUUCUAUGGACAUCCAUAGUAAGAUGGAUGAACUAUCAUAGAAACUCGACUGACUACUACAGGUCGGGUAUACC